rnacentral:rRNA from 1 species
UACGGGGGGGGCAAGCGUUGUUCGGAAUUACUGGGCGUAAAGGGCCAGUAGGCGGCCAACUAAGUCGGAUGUGAAAUCCCCAGGCUUAACCUGGGAACUGCAUCCGAUACUGGAUGGCUUGAAUUCGGGAGAGGGAUGCAGAAUUCCAGGUGUAGCGGUGAAAUGCGUAGAUAUCUGGAGGAACACCGGUGGCGAAGGCGGCGUUCUGGACUGCAACUGACACUGAUGAACGAAAGCCAGGGGAGCAAACGGG